CCCCCCAGGAAGGACAAGAGCAACUUUAUCAACAGGGAGAAAGAAAGACCUAAACUUCAAUAUACAAAAAGUGGAUAAAUGAAGGAAAAUCAAAUUUGAGGGAGAAAAGAUAUCAGCCAACUGUUACUGGCUCUUAGGGAGAAGAACAUGUGAUUUGACAGAUACGUUUCCCUGACGAGAAGAGUCAAGCUGUUUAGAGAAUGAAGAACUUUAUCAGAGGCUCAUUGUGGAGCACCAAAAUAGUUCAGUUCUGCACCAUCUUGGCCCUUCUCCUGCUCAGUUCUCUCUGGAAUCUAGGCAAGUGGGGUAAGACUUCCAUAACCUACAUUCCCACACUUUUAGUCAGACCUACACUCACCUGUUUGUGCAACAUCACCUUAUCUUGCAGUGUAUUUCAAUGGGCAGAGCUGGAAUGCAUCAGAAUUGGGUUCAGUUUCGUACUCUGACCUGGGCUCCACAGAAAAUGCUAAAGAAAUCAAGUAGCCUGAAGACAUAAAAUGGGGAUAAUAAUAAUUCCCUCCAUUACAGGUAAGGGUCUCAGGAUAAUUUAUGGUAGAGACUAUGAAUAACCAUAUAUGACCAAAAAUGGAGCAUAUCAAAGCACAGAUAUGUAUUGUCAUCAGACAGGGGAACAGAUUCAGAGACAAGAGCUUGAAAACUACCUACCCAUGCUGUAGUCAUUAAAGCCAUCCUGAAGGCAGGCAAGGGCAAAAUUCCAUGUGCUCCUGAUGUUUUGGCUUUUUGUGCCUCUUGAAUUUGAAACAAGUUGUGGAAGCUACAAGGCACCAGAAGCAGUGUCCUUUGCCCAGUAUGACCAGAACAAUCCUGCCCCAUGUUGUCUGUGCCAAGAAGGAAAGGUCAGGUCUGACAUGUGACCCUUUUCUAAUGUCAGUGGCAGGGGCCCAUGGGAAAAAUUAACAGCUUAAAAGAUAUUCCUUGUCAAAAAACAUUCCUCUGAGGAGAGGAAUAUGGAAGUGCAGAGCAGAAUAUGGAAGUGAGGGAGAAAGCUUCAGUGUUGGGGAAAGACACCCUUCCUACAUUGAGCAGACUGUAAUAUUAAAAGAUUUCUUUUUACAUUAGUGAAAAAAUAUAGAGUAAUGUGUAAAAGUAAAGCCUGCCAAAUAUUGAGGCCAACUGAUUUCAAUAUAG
rnacentral:lncRNA from 1 species